rnacentral:lncRNA from 1 species
GCAAAUGAAUUGCAUGCAUUUUUGCAUGUAAUUAGGUUAUAAAUAGAGGUGUUUUCAAAUGUUGAAGAACUUUUGCCUCUUUUAUCAUUUUCAUCAUCUCAACAAAAGAAAAAAAAACCUUCCAAUCCCAUUUUAUCUCCAUUACUUUCUACACCAAAAUUGGGUCCCACAACCCGGUUCUUUGUCUAGAGGAUAGCAGUUGAGUACUAGUGGUGGUCUCGGUUAGAAUUGGUAAGAAGAUAUCAAACCUUUUGAAAGCUUCAAAGGUAAUAUUUCUUAAAACCCUAAUUUGAUUAGUUUAUGGUUACAUGUUAAUUGUGGCAAUUAGGGUAGAAAUUCGAUUCUUUUUCCGCUGUGCAUGACUUAGUUCUAUCAUGUGGUAUCAGAGCAUGCUUCAUUUUUACCCAAUUGCAUGUGGUGGGUUCAUAUUUAUUAGAUAAAUUUUGGUUUGAACUAAAAUGGAUAUAUUAUGAUUUUGGCUCUAGAUUAAGUGUUUUUGUUCUAAUUAUUGUAAUUAGCCUUGUUAAUGGCUUAUUUUUAUUGUUCAAAGUGUUUGUAAUUUUUUUAAAAAAUAAAAAAGUCAUUAGAGUUGAAGUUAGGCUGUAAUUGGUUCAACCGGGUGAGAGAAUUGAAAAAAAUGAAGAAAAGAAGGUCACAGACCCGAAAACCCGGCCUUGACCCGCUUCGCGACCCGCCUGCGCCCGCGCGCCCUGGCGCCUGCGCGCCCCGCGCCCGACCCGUGUGCGCCUGGGCCUGUUUAGUUAAUUGGGCCGGUUCAAGCCAAUAAAUUUGGUUUUUGGGCCGGUUCAAGCGGUUUCGGUUGGUUUUUCAGCCGGUUCGAAGUUUUUGGGAGUGGUUCUGUACUACACCAAAUUAAUUAUGUAAUAAUUUAGUACUUAGCUUAAUUUAGGAGCCAAAAAUCAGUCCAUUUUAGGGUGUUUUUUUUUAUUUAUGCAUGUGAUGUAUGAUUAAAUUACUUUAAAUUUGUAUGUGCAUUUUGAAUGUCAUAUAGAUUUAAAAUCCCACCAUAGGUUAACAUGUUCAUGCAUUAAAA